AGCGUUCAGAAGCGAGAAUGUUGACAUGAGUAGCGACAAAGAGGGUGAGAGACCCUCUCGCCGAAAGUCCAAGGGUUCCUGCUUAAAGCUAAUCUGAGCAGGGUGAGCCGACCCCUAAGGCGAGGCCGAAAGGCGUAGUCGAUGGGAACCGGGUUAAUAUUCCCGGGCCAGGAGGAAGUGACGGAUCGCAGAGCUUGUUCGACCUUAUCGGAUUGGUCGGGCCUGUGAGCGGUUCCUGGAAAUAGCCCUCCAUGAGAUCGUACCCUAAACCGACACAGGUGGACUGGUAGAGCAUACCAAGGCGCUUGAGAGAACUACGUUGAAGGAACUCGGCAAAAUACCUCCGUAACUUCGGGAGAAGGAGGCCCCGUUGGCGCGCAAGCGUUGGCGGGGGGCACAAACCAGGGGGUGGCGACUGUUUACUAAAAACACAGGACUCUGCGAAGCCCAAAGGCGACGUAUAGGGUCUGACGCCUGCCCGGUGCCGGAAGGUUAAAAGGAGGGGUGCAAGCUCCGAAUUGAAGCCCCGGUAAACGGCGGCCGUAACGAUAACGGUCCUAAGGUAGCGAAAUUCCUUGUCGGGUAAGUUCCGACCUGCACGAAUGGCGUAACGACUUCCCCGCUGUCUCCAACGUAGACUCAGCGAAAUUGAACUCCCCGUGAAGAUGCGGGGUUCCCGCGGUCAGACGGAAAGACCCCGUGCACCUUUACUACAGCUUCACACUGGCAUCAGGCCAGGCAUGUGCAGGAUAGGUGGUAGGCUUUGAAACAGGGACGCCAGUUCCUGCGGAGCCGCCCUUGAGAUACCACCCUUGCCUUGCCUGAUGUCUAACCGCGGACCGUCAUCCGGUUCCGGGACCUUGUGUGGCGGGUAGUUUGACUGGGGCGGUCGCCUCCCAAAGAGUAACGGAGGCGCGCGAUGGUGGGCUCAGGUUGGUCGGAAAUCAACCGUCGAGUGCAAUGGCAUAAGCCCGCCUGACUGCGAGACUGACAAGUCGAGCAGAGACGAAAGUCGGCCAUAGUGAUCCGGUGGUCCCGCGUGGAAGGGCCAUCGCUCAACGGAUAAAAGGUACGCCGGGGAUAACAGGCUGAUACUGCCCAAGAGUCCAUAUCGACGGCAGUGUUUGGCACCUCGAUGUCGGCUCAUCACAUCCUGGGGCUGGAGAAGGUCCCAAGGGUACGGCUGUUCGCCGUUUAAAGUGGUACGUGAGCUGGGUUUAGAACGUCGUGAGACAGUUCGGUCCCUAUCUGCCGUGGGUGUCGGAGACUUGAGAGGAGUUGCCCCUAGUACGAGAGGACCGGGGUGAACGCACCACUGGUGGACCAGUUGUCGUGCCAACGGCAGUGCUGGGUAGCUAUGUGCGGACAGGAUAACCGCUGAAGGCAUCUAAGCGGGAAGCCCCCCUCGAAACCAGGUCUCCCUUGAGGGCCGUGGAAGACCACCACGUCGAUAGGCCGGAGGUGUAAGUGCAGUAAUGUACUCAGCUGACCGGUACUAAUCGCCC
rnacentral:rRNA from 1 species